ensembl:misc_RNA 7SK 7SK RNA
GGAUAUAAAGAUGAUCUGUCUGUGACAUGUCACCCAUGGAUCACCAGGGGAUCUAGCCAGCUAGGGGAAUGUCCUCCUCUUCCCUCACCGCUCCACGUGUUUCCCUCCCGAAGCUGCUGCAAGCUCAGUGGAAGAGGGCGACCACCCUUGAGAGCGGAGGACAUUUCCUUGCUCAAGGGUAUAUGAGAAGCUGCAUUCCCCUACUAGAACCUCCAAACAAGCUUUAUAAGUCCUAGGAGUUUUUACAUACAAUAUUCAUCCAUUCUACAAAUAUGUGAGCUCUGGGGCAGUCAGCACAUUGU